AGAUUUGAAUACAGCAGCACUCUGCUCCGAGUUUUAUGUCAGUAAUCAGACAGGAACAGGACUUAUUUCAGGUAUAAAUGUUUUCAAAGGCUGAACUUUGAUAACAGAUGGACGCUGCCGUUGGAUUGCUGCUGGUGAUACUUGGAGUCUGUCACGGUGAGGAAACGUACUGUGACGGCAGACAGAAUGGAGCUCAGUGUUAUGGAGUUUUAGGAGGAACUGUGGCUCUCCGGCUGAUGACGAGCGCCUCAGAAAUACAUAAAUACGAAUGGUUGAAGAA